rnacentral:rRNA from 1 species
AGUGAACGCUGGCGGUAGGCCUAACACAUGCAAGUCGAACGGCAGCACAGUAAGUGCUUGCUCUUACGGGUGGCGAGUGGCGGACGGGUGAGGAAUACAUCGGAAUCUACUUUUUCGUGGGGGAUAACGUAGGGAAACUUACGCUAAUACCGCAUACGACCUACGGGUGAAAGCAGGGGAUCUUCGGACCUUGCGCGAUUGAAUGAGCCGAUGUCGGAUUUGCUAGUUGGCGGGGUAAAGGCCCACCAAGGCGACGAUCCGUAGCUGGUCUGAGAGGAUGAUCAGCCACACGGGUACUGAGACGAGGUCCAGACUCCUACGGGAGGCAGCAGUGGGGAAUAUUGGACAAUGGGCGGAAGCCUGAACUAGACAUACCGCGUGGGUGAAGAAGGCCUUCGGGUUGUAAAGCACUUUUGUUGGGAAAGAAAAGCAGCAGGUUAAUACCCCGCUGUUAUGACGGUACCCAAAGAAUAAGCACCGGCUAACUUCGUG